rnacentral:misc_RNA from 1 species
UACAGAGACCCCGAGCGUUAUCCGGAAUUACUGGGCGUAAAGAGCGAGUAGCCGGUUGUAUUAGUCCGAUGUUAAAUCCUAUUGCUUAACGAUAGGGCUGCAUUGGAAACGGUACGGCUAGAGCGGGUAAGAGGCAUGCGGAACGUGCAGUGUAGGGGUGAAAUCCAUUGAUAUUGCACGGAACACCAAAAGCGAAAGCAGCAUGCUAGUGCUCUGCUGACGGUCAAUCGCGAAAGCGUGGGGAUCAAAAAGG